AUCAUUAUACUUAAUCCAACUAUGCCACGUCACCACUGUGCCGCGACUCCCCUGUGCUGGGUUUUUUAAUUUAAGUUUACCGUACAGCCUGUCCAGCCAUUAUGCGCGUCCCAAAGCUACGAAAGGGGAACGCCAUGUAGAUAUGCAGGAUAGAAAUAAGCUGUCACUAAUUUAUUGGUUCGGACGAAUAAACGGUCACGGACAAGGGCAAUCUUGGCUCGGUCAACCACCGAAAUCUUGGAAGACCUGGACUAUGAACCCACGUUGUAGACAAUGAAACACUUAACUAAGUGAUUUUUGAUACAGCGCGGUGAUUGAACAAAAAACAAUAGAUAUAUAUAGAAUAUAAAGGACACAAUUUAAAAAAAACCUUACAGGAGGUACAAAAUGUAGUUGAAAUAUUUAUCAUGUAAAGUAGUUCUAAAAGUUUAAAAUUCCAUGAUGCUCUCCUAUUGGGAAUGGUCGGACUUCAUAGGCCCAGAUCGUUUGGCCAAACUACUUACCGGACAUUGUAUACAGAACAGGUUGGAUUUUUGAAUGACACAUUGAAUAAACUGCACGUAGAUGGUUCAAUGAAGAAUCAUAAAACUACUCUGACUACUUAAACUAAAAAUUUUUAUUCUCUUUAAAUACUUUUAAAAAGAAAAUGAACUUUAUUAUUAGUCAUACUGAUAGAGAUAGUUAAUAGUUAUAAUGUUAAGAUAAGCAAUAACUUUGUUAGUUGCUCUAUAAUAGAUAUAUGAUUAUAAUAAUGAUAGGAAUAAUAGUACAAAUAGAUUUAGUUAUAAUAGUAGAAAAAGAUAAAUACAACAAUUUUACCCUUCAAAUAGUAUUACAAACAAACUAUAACCAGACAACAACAAACAAACAAAUUAAUUGCUCAAUAAAGAAUAAGAUGUCAGACCACCUCAAAAUCAUUACACGCCGAUCAACACUAAUGACUUGAGAAAAGAUAACUUCGAAGGAAAUGAUAAUAAAAUAUUUAAUACAUUAAUUAUCGAAAAUAAAAAUACAACAUUCUACCAAAAACUCCAAGCAACUUGUACAACGACUGAAUAAAAUGUCGAUUCGACCUUUCAAUCAAAGUCAUAGAAGGUCAAAGAAAUACAUUUUAAAGUAAAAAUAAUGUUAAUACUGAAAGAUGAGUCAAAUCAACUUAAUUUUUUUUUUCUACACACGUUCUCAUAAUCCCCCAAAAAAAUACACGAAAUCAGUCCCUCCAAAAAACUCUCUAAAAAAAUACUGGGAUAAAUGGUACACAUUAUUCACAAAAUAUGAUUGAGGCGUUAAACUGGAGAGAGAUUCUUCUCGUUUUGUCUAGAAAAAUUGAGUAUCCAAAUCGCUCAACGUUGUACGGGAAAAGUUGCGAUGGACCCUUUUUGUGGAAUUGAUGGAAACAUUAUUCAACUAACCAGGUUCUACACCAAAGUCAUAGCGAUCGACAAAAAUCCGGAAAAAAUUAGACUGGCAAUGAACAAUGCAAAAAUAUACGGAGUUGAGAAACAUAUUGAAUUUAUAGUGGGCGAUUUUUUUGAAUUGGCAUAUCAUCUUAAAGAGGACGUUGUUGUCAUGUCACCCCCUUGGGGCGGACCUAAUUAUUCAAAAAAGAAGAAAUACAAUUUAAAAUACAUAUGUCAAGAGUAAGGAUAUAAUGGCUUCAACAUUUUUGAAUUGCCCCAAAAAGUUGCCCCAAAUGUGGUUUUCCAUAUGUCAAGAAAUAUUUACCUUUUAGAAUGCCAGUCAUUAGCUAAGACUUUCAAUCAUAAUUAUCAAGUUGAAUAAAAUGUUAUAAAUACCAAAUUGGAUUCAAUUACUGUUUUUUUCUGAAAUUUACAUUGAUAUAUAAUACGACGCCAAUUAAAUUUUUUUAAGUAUUAUUAUUUUUUAAUUGUUUAAUUUGUAUUUAAAUAUUCGUUCUCAACUAGAUUUAAGUUUUUUGAUUCUGUUUUAUCAUAUUUUUAUUUUUCUAUUAUAAUGUUAUUAUUUUUAGUCGUUUGAUUUUUUUUUAAUUGUAUUUAAUUUAAUUAAUGAACUUUGUAUAAUCCGAAUAUAUCAUUUUUUUCCUAUUAAAUGUGAA